AUUGAACGCUGGCGGCAUGCCUUACACAUGCAAGUCGAACGGUAACGCGGGGCAACCUGGCGGCGAGUGGCGAACGGGUGAGUAAUGUAUCGGAACGUGCCCAGUUGUGGGGGAUAACUGCUCGAAAGAGCAGCUAAUACCGCAUACGACCUGACGGUGAAAGCGGGGGAUCGCAAGACCUCGCGCAAUUGGAGCGGCCGAUAUCAGAUUAGGUAGUUGGUGGGGUAAAGGCUCACCAAGCCAACGAUCUGUAGCUGGUCUGAGAGGACGACCAGCCACACUGGGACUGAGACACGGCCCAGACUCCUACGGGAGGCAGCAGUGGGGAAUUUUGGACAAUGGACGCAAGUCUGAUCCAGCCAUGCCGCGUGCGGGAAGAAGGCCUUCGGGUUGUAAACCGCUUUUGUCAGGGAAGAAACGCUCUGGGUUAAUACCUCGGGGUAAUGACGGUACCUGAAGAAUAAGCACCGGCUAACUACGUGCCAGCAGCCGCAGUAAAAC
rnacentral:rRNA from 1 species